GCUAAAAAGUUAGGUGUAUUAAAAAAAAUAGAAAACUGGGAAGACGGAAAAAAAUUUUUUAGAAAGAUACUUGCUCUAGCAUUGCUACCAAGUGUUGAUAUUUUACAAGCAUUUGAUUGGUUACUCCAAAUACAUGCUCCUUUCUGUCAUAUUUUCAAAAACUUUAUUGACUAUUUCAUAGAUUAUUGGUUACUAAAAAUUACACCAACAGGAUUUAGUGUCUAUAGAUUGAAAAUAAAAACUAACAAUUAUACCGAAUCAUAUCAUCGAAGACUAAACAAGUUUUUCGGCUUACAUUCAUCACUUUAGUAAUUUAUCCUGAACCUCCGACACCUUCAUGAAAUCACAAAAAUUGAAGUACAAUCGUUAUUACUAUCGCAACCUGUACGAAGAGAGACACGACCGAAAGAUUUACUUCGAGCUCAAUUGCUGGAUAGGGCAUGGGAAUUAUAUGAUUCUGAUGUGUUAGACAUUCCACAUUUUCUUGAACUUGCUGAAUAUAUAUCAACUGUGUUGGUCGAUGGAAAUAUACAAAUAAGUAUCGAGGAUGUAGAUAAUUUCAUUAAUAUUCCCAUUUACAGAUACGUUGCAGUUGCUGAGAAUAACUAUAUGGCUAUUAAUAAUGAUGAAGCGAACCAUGUGCAGCAUAUACUCUUCAUCCAACAAAAUUAGAAAAUUUCGUUAAG